ACCCACAGUCAACCAUAGUCUGAAAACAUCAAAUGGAAAAUUCCAGAAAUAAACAAUUCAUAAGUGUUAAAUUGCACGCCAUUCUGCGAAGCAUGAUGAAAUCUCACACCAUCCCCAUUCCAUCCUGCGCAGGAUGUGAAUCAUCACUUUGUCCAGAAUAUCCACGCUGUAUAUAUUUCCCGCCUAUUAGUCAUUUAGUCACUUAACUGUCUUGGUUAUCGGAUUGACUGCUGAGGUACUGCAGUGCUUGUGUUCAAGUAACCCUUCAUUUACCUAUUAAUGGGCUCAAAGUAUAAGAGCAGUGAUGCUGGCAAUUAGGAUAUGCAAAAGAGAAGCUGUAAAGUGCUCCCUUUGAGUGAAAAGGUUGCUGAUACAGAUGAAGACAAAAGCCAGGAGGCAGGAGGAAACGAGAGGAGUUCCACCCUGGGUGUUACUUAGAGGUCUCUAUGAACUGUGCUUAGUCCACUUCCUUUGCAAUCAUCCUUCACAUCAUCCUGAAUUCAUUAAGAUACGGCUCCUGUCAAAGGCCUGCUCAGAAGACCAAAAACUGAAAAUAAGUUGAUUCCGGAUCUGGUGAAAUUCCACCAAUAAUGUUUCCAGAUCUGGUGAAAUUCCACCAAUAAAACUGAAGAGAGAAAUGCAGAACACUCUUA